rnacentral:rRNA from 1 species
GACAGAGGGUGCGAGCGUUGUUCGGAAUUACUGGGCGUAAAGCGCGCGCAGGCGGAUCCUGCAAGUCAGAGGUGAAAUCUCACUGCUCAACGGCGAGACUGCUUCUGAGACUGCGGAUCUGGAGACCGGUAGAGGCUGGUGGAAUUGCAGGUGUAGCGGUGGAAUGCGCAGAUAUCAGGAGGAACACCGGUGGCGAAGGCGGGAUCCUGGGCCAGUACUGACGCUGAGGAGCGAAAGCGUGGGGAGCAAACAGG